GCUUCCAUAGCCAAGCGGAAAGGCAGUUGGUUGCAACAUAAGCGAUCGGUCGUUCGAAUCGGCCUGGAAGCUCCA
rnacentral:tRNA from 1 species